CGGCGACGACGCUGCCGUCCGCGGUGGCCGGAAAGUUGAAAAGGUGCGUUUUUUUCCUUUUUUUUGUAAAUCUUUUUCAAUGUAUAUGUAUAAUAGUUAAUUGAGGAAAAGAAAUAUAUGUAUGUAUAUAAACAGUUUCAAAAGAAAGAAAAAAAUAAAAAAUAAAAAUAAAAAAGAAUUAGAUCUUAUACCGAAAACAAAGAGUCCUUGAAUCUGUGUUUUUUUUUACUUUUUAUUUCUUGAAAUCGUGGAGAAGAGAGACCAUUCUUUUACAAAACAAGAUCGGUUCCUC
rnacentral:lncRNA from 1 species